GUGCCAGCAGCCGCGGUAAUACGUAGGUGGCAAGCGUUAUCCGGAAUUAUUGGGCGUAAAGCGCGCGUAGGCGGUUUUUUAAGUCUGAUGUGAAAGCCCACGGCUCAACCGUGGAGGGUCAUUGGAAACUGGAAAACUUGAGUGCAGAAGAGGAAAGUGGAAUUCCAUGUGUAGCGGUGAAAUGCGCAGAGAUAUGGAGGAACACCAGUGGCGAAGGCGACUUUCUGGUCUGUAGCUGACGCUGAUGUGCGAAAGCGUGGGGAUCAAACAGGAUUAGAU
rnacentral:rRNA from 1 species